UUCUGUUAGGAAAAUUGUCAGGUAUUGUGAAGAAUAAGAAACACUUUCCUGUUGCUGGGCAUGUGCAAAGUGUUGGAGAUGGAGUCACAAAAGAGAGGUGUAUCAGUACUGCUAAAUCCCUCUAAAUGGAUUUAAAUUGCCAACAGUAUGUUUUAUUACUCAGCCUUCAUCCAACACAGCUAGCUGAACAAUAGGCCUGUGGGACAGGUUGCCUUGUGUUUGAUUGGACUUAAGAGCAAAGCACUGACCUGCAAGAAAUGCCAGUUUUCUGACAGAGGAGUAAACAUUCUCCCAAAGCAAAAGCUGCUGGAACACUUUUGACACUGUGCCUGUAGCUUGUCCACCGUAACAUCUCUGCAGCUUGCCCUUCCUCACAGCUGCUGAGUGUUGCAAGACUAAGGGACACAGAGAGCAGCUCUUCAGGUGCAGUAGUUCAGCUCUCUGCCACUAUGUUGUCCGAUUAAGCUUUUUUUGCAAGAUCUAGUUGUGCAUUGUAGCUGUAAAGCUGCCCACAAACCAUCCUCCAGGGUAUGGCACCUUGGGCUGAGCAUGCAAGCAUUUGUUCCUUCCUGAAGUUUUCUUUGGAAAGACUCAAUGAAGAUCAAAGAAUUCUGGGCAGUCAGCAGUCCACCCCAGGCUAUUGCAAGCUUUGCAUCCCACAGAAGCAUCAGGAACAGUCUCAGUUUGGGUAAGCGUAGGGGCUGGGGUUUUUCUUGCAGAGGCUCUGUGAUCUGCCUCCUGGCAAAACGUCUGGAACUGCAGCAGAACCUGCUAUUCCUUUAAAGUCCCGCUUCAGCUGCCGCCACAUAAGCAAAAGUAUACUGCAGCAACUUUCAGCCUAGGAAUCCUGCUUUACUUAGAAAAAAAGCUUGAGAAUGGAAAGGCUAGAAGACACCUCUGCUUCCUCCCAUCCUUCACCUCAGUUCCUCUCCAUACGAAACUGUAACACUGUAGUAUUUCAACUGAUCAAGAUGAAUCUAUCCCCAAAACCUCCAACCUGACUUACAAAAAGGACAAGCAACACAGUCAAGAGGCUUGCUUGGAAGUACUGCUUUUCAUUUUUAAUGCCAAAUGACGUGGUAUUUAAGAGAAGGAGAAGGAGAAGGAGAAGGAGAAGGAGAAGGAGAAGGAGAAGGAGAAGGAGAAGGAGAAGGAGAGGAAUUGUGAAUGGUAUAAGUGAAUCCUGUCUUCACAUCAGCUCCUACCUCCUAGAGGAAUUUACCCUUGGGCUUCAGGUUGGCUGAUGAGCGUAUUCCCUUGAGUAGCCUGAGAACCUAUCUCAACAUAUGAAA